UACAGAGGUCCCGAGCGUUGUUCGGAUUCACGUGGGCGUAAAGGGUGCGUAGGUGGCGAGGUAAGUCGGAUGUGAAAGCUCGGAGCUCAACUCCGAAAUGGCAUUGGAAACUACCUUUGCUCGAGGGUUGGAGGGGGACUGGAAUGCUUGGUGUAGCAGUGAAAUGCGUAGAUAUCAAGCGGAACACCAGUGGCGAAGGCGAGUCCC
rnacentral:rRNA from 1 species